GACGAACGCUGGCGGCGCGCUUAACACAUGCAAGUCGAGCGAGAACCAGGGCUUCGGCCCUGGGGACAGCGGCGAACGGGUGAGUAACACAUGGAUAACCUGCCCUCGGCACCGGGAUAGCCCGGGGAAACCCGGAUUAAUACCGGAUGGCCCUUCCGGCUCACGAGCCGGACGGAAAAGGUAGCUUCGGCCUCCGGCCGAGGAUGGGUCCGCGGCGGAUUAGCUUGUUGGUGGGGUAACGGCCCACCAAGGCUCCGAUCCGUAGCUGGUCUGAGAGGACGAUCAGCCACACUGGGACUGCGACACGGCCCAGACUCCUACGGGAGGCAGCAGUGGGGAAUCUUGCGCAAUGGGCGAAAGCCUGACGCAGCGACGCCGCGUGAGGGAGGAAGGCCUUCGGGUUGUAAACCUCUUUCAGGAGGGACGAAGCUACUCGGGUGAAUAGCCCAGAGGGUGACGGUACCUCCAGAAGAAGCCCCGGCUAACUACGUGCCAGCCGCCGCGGUAAUAC
rnacentral:rRNA from 1 species